UCUGAAUGUGGCCAUUCAGCUCUUCCCAGAAAGAAACUCCCGCAUAAUAUGCUGAACCACUUGAAACCCUUCACAUCAGAAAGGAAAAGGGAAAGGGAAACUGCAGAGGAAGUGGAUUGCAUGGAAGGUAGAUUUUAACUUCUUUCUCCCAUCAACUUCAAGCUGUAGAUUUUAUGGUUUACCCGACUCUCCAGGCAUGAUGUAAUGAUCAAGCUUCAGAAACUCAGGUCAUUCAGCAGAAAAAUGGUCACCAACAGGUAAAACUCGAUCAAUGUCUAUCUAACAAAAAGUUCAGAAGGGAAAUGAAACUAUAUUGGUAACACUUUUUUCUAGUCAACAUUUUAACAGACUACAAUUAAAUGAUUAGUAAACAAUUGUUCUUUUUAACCAAACAAAUCAUACAGAAAUGUGGCAGCCAACACUAAGAAUCUGCCAUGAUAAAGCAAUCAAGCUAAACUGUAGAAUAGUGCCCAGAUGCAUAACUGCACUUGGCUGGCAGAUAUUGCAUUGCAGGACUGAGAUAUCUCAAAAUUGAUAUAUUGACUACAUCAAGAGCAAGCUUGUAAUUUGCUCAAAAGUUGGCACGAGAAUAAGAGCUUCGAUUGCCUUCAGAAGGUCCUCUAAAUCUCCAUACCAAAGAUGAAAAAAAACUCUGCAAGGACAGGAGAACAGCUCACAUAAUUAUAACAUUAAUAAGUGCCACAAUCAAGUUUUAUAGAUAUAGAAAUUGAAUAUAAAACAUGUAAAAUCACAACAAUUGAUCUGGUAGUUGCAUUGGUUUUGUUCCUCCCGACCACUAAAAUAUCCAUAUUACCCUAUGAUAUUGCUCCCAUGUAACAGUAGUUUUGUUAAAGGCUAAGAUUACAUGCAUAGCACAAUAUUUGAAUUUCAAUUUCAA